rnacentral:rRNA from 1 species
GCCUAACACAUGCAAGUCGCACGAGAAAGGGACUUCGGUCCUGAGUAAAGUGGCGCACGGGUGAGUAACACGUGACUAAUCUACCUCCGAGUGGGGAAUAACUGAGGGAAACCUUAGCUAAUACCGCAUAACACUUACGAGUCAAAGCAGCAAUGCGCUUGGAGAGGAGGUCGCGGCAGAUUAGCUAGUUGGCGGGGUAAUGGCCCACCAAGGCGAUGAUCUGUAUCCGGCCUGAGAGGGCGCACGGACACACUGGAACUGAAACACGGUCCAGACUCCUACGGAAGGCAGCAGUGGGGAAUUUUGCGCAAUGGGGGAAACCCUGACGCAGCAACGCCGCGUGGAGGAUGAAGUCUCUUGGGACGUAAACUCCUUUCGAUCGGGACGAUAAUGACGGUACCGAUAGAAGAAGCCCCGGCUAACUUCGUGCCAGCAGCCGCGGUAAUACGAGGGGGGCAAGCGUUGUUCGGAAUUAUUGGGCGUAAAGGGCGCGUAGGCGGUUUGGCAAGUUUGGUGUGAAAUCUUCGGGCUCAACUCGAAGUCUGCACCGAAAACUGCCGGGCUUGAGUAUGGGAGAGGUGAGUGGAAUUUCCGGUGUAGCGGUGAAAUGCGUAGAUAUCGGAAGGAACACCUGUGGCGAAAGCGGCUCACUGGACCAUUACUGACGCUGAGGCGCGAAAGCUAGGGGAGCAAACAGGAUUAGAUACCCUGGUAGUCCUAGCCCUAAACGAUGAUUGCUUGAUGUGGCAGGACCCAAUCCUGCCGUGUCGAAGCUAACGCGAUAAGCAAUCCGCCUGGGGAGUACAGUCGCAAGGCUGAAACUCAAAGGAAUUGACGGGGGCCCGCACAAGCGGUGGAGCAUGUGGUUCAAUUCGACGCAACGCGAAGAACCUUACCUGGGCUCGAACGGCUUCCCAGCGUCGGUAGAAAUAUCGAUACCCCGCAAGGGGGUGGAGUCGAGGUGCUGCAUGGCUGUCGUCAGCUCGUGUCGUGAGAUGUUGGGUUAAGUCCCGCAACGAGCGCAACCCUUGUCCUGUGUUGCCAUGAUCGCAAGAUCGGAACUCGCAGGAGGCCGCCAGGGAUAACCUGGAGGAAGGUGGGGAUGACGUCAAGUCCUCAUGGCCUUUAUGUCCAGGGCUACACACGUGCUACAAUGGACGGUACAAAGCGUCGCUAACCUGCGAAGGGGAGCCAAUCGCAAAAAACCGUUCUCAGUUCGGAUUGCAGGCUGCAACUCGCCUGCAUGAAGCUGGAAUCGCUAGUAAUGGCAGAUCAGCAUGCUGCCGUGAAUACGUUCCCGGGCCUUGUACACACCGCCCGUCACAUCACGAAAGUGGAUUGUACUAGAAGUCUGCAGGCUGACCCGCAAGGGGGGCAGCGGCCCAAGGUAUGAUCCAUGAUUGGGGUGAAGUCGUAACAAGGUAGCCGUAGGAGAACCUGCGGCUGGAUCACCUCCUU